rnacentral:rRNA from 1 species
AACGUAGGACGCAAGCGUUAUCCGGAGUUACUGGGCGUAAAGCGCGGGCAGGCGGCUUCGCAAGUUCGAUGUGAAAUCUCUCAGCUCAACUGGGAGCAGCCAUUGGAAACUACGGAGCUGGAGUCUGGCAGAGGUAGGCGGAAUUCCGGGUGGAGUGGUGAAAUGCGUAGAGAUCCGGAGGAACACCAGAGGCGAAGGCGGCCUACUGGGCCAGUACUGACGCUGAGCCGCGAAAGCCAGGGGAGCGAACGGG